ensembl:misc_RNA Y_RNA Y RNA
GGCUGAUCCAAAGGUAGUGAGUUGACUUUUACAGUUAGCUACAGAUCAUACUGUUUGUUCUAUUCUUUCACCCUUCUCGCUGCUGCAUUUGACUAGUCCAAA